rnacentral:rRNA from 1 species
GAGUCGGCCUGCGCGGAAGAUGUAACGGGGCUAAACCAUGCACCGAAGCUGCGGCAGCGACACUUUAGUGUUGUUGGGUAGGGGAGCGUUCUGUAAGCCGUUGAAGGUGUCCUGUGAGGGGUGCUGGAGGUAUCAGAAGUGCGAAUGCUGACAUAAGUAACGAUAAAGCGGGUGAAAAGCCCGCUCGCCGGAAGACCAAGGGUUCCUGUCCAACGUUAAUCGGGGCAGGGUGAGUCGACCCCUAAGGCGAGGCCGAAAGGCGUAGUCGAUGGGAAACGGGUUAAUAUUCCCGUACUUGGUGUUACUGCGAAGGGGGGACGGAGAAGGCUAUGUUGGCCGGGCGACGGUUGUCCCGGUUUAAGCGUGUAGGUGUGUGUUCCAGGUAAAUCCGGUUCACUUUAACACUGAGGCGUGAUGACGAGGCACCACGGUGCUGAAGCAACAAAUGCCCUGCUUCCAGGAAAAGCCUCUAAGCAUCAGGUAACAUCAAAUCGUACCCCAAACCGACACAGGUGGUCAGGUAGAGAAUACCAAGGCGCUUGAGAGAACUCGGGUGAAGGAACUAGGCAAAAUGGUGCCGUAACUUCGGGAGAAGGCACGCUGACACGUAGGUGAAGUGAUUUACUCAUGGAGCUGAAGUCAGUCGAAGAUACCAGCUGGCUGCAACUGUUUAUUAAAAACACAGCACUGUGCAAACACGAAAGUGGACGUAUACGGUGUGACGCCUGCCCGGUGCCGGAAGGUUAAUUGAUGGGGUCAGCGCAAGCGAAGCUCCUGAUCGAAGCCCCGGUAAACGGCGGCCGUAACUAUAACGGUCCUAAGGUAGCGAAAUUCCUUGUCGGGUAAGUUCCGACCUGCACGAAUGGCGUAAUGAUGGCCAGGCUGUCUCCACCCGAGACUCAGUGAAAUUGAACUCGCUGUGAAGAUGCAGUGUACCCGCGGCAAGACGGAAAGACCCCGUGAACCUUUACUAUAGCUUGACACUGAACAUUGAGCCUUGAUGUGUAGGAUAGGUGGGAGGCUUUGAAGCGUGGACGCCAGUCUGCGUGGAGCCGACCUUGAAAUACCACCCUUUAAUGUUUGAUGUUCUAACGUGGACCCGUAAUCCGGGUUGCGGACAGUGUCUGGUGGGUAGUUUGACUGGGGCGGUCUCCUCCUAAAGAGUAACGGAGGAGCACGAAGGUUGGCUAAUCCUGGUCGGACAUCAGGAGGUUAGUGCAAUGGCAUAAGCCAGCUUGACUGCGAGCGUGACGGCGCGAGCAGGUGCGAAAGCAGGUCAUAGUGAUCCGGUGGUUCUGAAUGGAAGGGCCAUCGCUCAACGGAUAAAAGGUACUCCGGGGAUAACAGGCUGAUACCGCCCAAGAGUUCAUAUCGACGGCGGUGUUUGGCACCUCGAUGUCGGCUCAUCACAUCCUGGGGCUGAAGUAGGUCCCAAGGGUAUGGCUGUUCGCCAUUUAAAGUGGUACGCGAGCUGGGUUUAGAACGUCGUGAGACAGUUCGGUCCCUAUCUGCCGUGGGCGCUGGAAGAUUGAGGGGGGCUGCUCCUAGUACGAGAGGACCGGAGUGGACGCAUCACUGGUGUUCGGGUUGUCAUGCCAAUGGCACUGCCCGGUAGCUAAAUGCGGAAAAGAUAAGUGCUGAAAGCAUCUAAGCACGAAACUUGCCCCGAGAUGAGUCUUCCCUGAGACUUUGAGUCUCCUGAAGGAACGUUAAAGACGAUGACGUUGAUAGGCCGGGUGUGUAAGCGCAGCGAUGCGUUGAGCUAACCGGUACUAAUGAACCGUGAGGCUUAACCUUACAACGCCGAAGCUGUU